rnacentral:rRNA from 1 species
AGUUUGCCUGGCUCAGAUUGAACGCUGGCGGUAGGCCUAACACAUGCAAGUCGAGCGGUAGAGAGAAGCUUGCUUCUCUUGAGAGCGGCGGACGGGUGAGUAAUGCCUAGGAAUCUGCCUGGUAGUGGGGGAUAACGUUCGGAAACGGACGCUAAUACCGCAUACGUCCUACGGGAGAAAGCAGGGGACCUUCGGGCCUUGCGCUAUCAGAUGAGCCUAGGUCGGAUUAGCUAGUUGGUGAGGUAAUGGCUCACCAAGGCGACGAUCCGUAACUGGUCUGAGAGGAUGAUCAGUCACACUGGAACUGAGACACGGUCCAGACUCCUACGGGAGGCAGCAGUGGGGAAUAUUGGACAAUGGGCGAAAGCCUGAUCCAGCCAUGCCGCGUGUGUGAAGAAGGUCUUCGGAUUGUAAAGCACUUUAAGUUGGGAGGAAGGGUUGUAGAUUAAUACUCUGCAAUUUUGACGUUACCGACAGAAUAAGCACCGGCUAACUCUGUGCCAGCAGCCGCGGUAAUACAGAGGGUGCAAGCGUUAAUCGGAAUUACUGGGCGUAAAGCGCGCGUAGGUGGUUUGUUAAGUUGGAUGUGAAAUCCCCGGGCUCAACCUGGGAACUGCAUUCAAAACUGACUGACUAGAGUAUGGUAGAGGGUGGUGGAAUUUCCUGUGUAGCGGUGAAAUGCGUAGAUAUAGGAAGGAACACCAGUGGCGAAGGCGACCACCUGGACUAAUACUGACACUGAGGUGCGAAAGCGUGGGGAGCAAACAGGAUUAGAUACCCUGGUAGUCCACGCCGUAAACGAUGUCAACUAGCCGUUGGAAGCCUUGAGCUUUUAGUGGCGCAGCUAACGCAUUAAGUUGACCGCCUGGGGAGUACGGCCGCAAGGUUAAAACUCAAAUGAAUUGACGGGGGCCCGCACAAGCGGUGGAGCAUGUGGUUUAAUUCGAAGCAACGCGAAGAACCUUACCAGGCCUUGACAUCCAAUGAACUUUCUAGAGAUAGGUUGGUGCCUUCGGGAACAUUGAGACAGGUGCUGCAUGGCUGUCGUCAGCUCGUG